rnacentral:rRNA from 1 species
GAUGAACGCUGGCGGCGUGCCUAAUACAUGCAAGUCGAACGCACAGCGAAAGGUGCUUGCACCUUUCAAGUGAGUGGCGAACGGGUGAGUAACACGUGGACAACCUGCCUCAAGGCUGGGGAUAACAUUUGGAAACAGAUGCUAAUACCGAAUAAAACUUAGUGUCGCAUGACACAAAGUUAAAAGGCGCUUCGGCGUCACCUAGAGAUGGAUCCGCGGUGCAUUAGUUAGUUGGUGGGGUAAAGGCCUACCAAGACAAUGAUGCAUAGCCGAGUUGAGAGACUGAUCGGCCACAUUGGGACUGAGACACGGCCCAAACUCCUACGGGAGGCUGCAGUAGGGAAUCUUCCACAAUGGGCGAAAGCCUGAUGGAGCAACGCCGCGUGUGUGAUGAAGGCUUUCGGGUCGUAAAGCACUGUUGUAUGGGAAGAACAGCUAGAAUAGGAAAUGAUUUUAGUUUGACGGUACCAUACCAGAAAGGGACGGCUAAAUACGUGCCAGCAGCCGCGGUAAUACGUAUGUCCCGAGCGUUAUCCGGAUUUAUUGGGCGUAAAGCGAACGCAGACGGUUUAUUAAGUCUGAUGUGAAAGCCCGGAGCUCAACUCCGGAAUGGCAUUGGAAACUGGUUAACUUGAGUGCAGUAGAGGUAAGUGGAACUCCAUGUGUAGCGGUGGAAUGCGUAGAUAUAUGGAAGAACACCAGUGGCGAAGGCGGCUUACUGGACUGCAACUGACGUUGAGGCUCGAAAGUGUGGGUAGCAAACAGGAUUAGAUACCCUGGUAGUCCACACCGUAAACGAUGAACACUAGGUGUUAGGAGGUUUCCGCCUCUUAGUGCCGAAGCUAACGCAUUAAGUGUUCCGCCUGGGGAGUACGACCGCAAGGUUGAAACUCAAAGGAAUUGACGGGGACCCGCACAAGCGGUGGAGCAUGUGGUUUAAUUCGAAGCAACGCGAAGAACCUUACCAGGUCUUGACAUCCUUUGAAGCUUUUAGAGAUAGAAGUGUUCUCUUCGGAGACAAAGUGACAGGUGGUGCAUGGUCGUCGUCAGCUCGUGUCGUGAGAUGUUGGGUUAAGUCCCGCAACGAGCGCAACCCUUAUUGUUAGUUGCCAGCAUUCAGAUGGGCACUCUAGCGAGACUGCCGGUGACAAACCGGAGGAAGGCGGGGACGACGUCAGAUCAUCAUGCCCCUUAUGACCUGGGCUACACACGUGCUACAAUGGCGUAUACAACGAGUUGCCAACCCGCGAGGGUGAGCUAAUCUCUUAAAGUACGUCUCAGUUCGGAUUGUAGUCUGCAACUCGACUACAUGAAGUCGGAAUCGCUAGUAAUCGCGGAUCAGCACGCCGCGGUGAAUACGUUCCCGGGUCUUGUACACACCGCCCGUCACACCAUGGGAGUUUGUAAUGCCCAAAGCCGGUGGCCUAACCUUUUAGGAAGGAGCCGUCUAAGGCAGGACAGAUGACUGGGGUG